UCAAAUGUUGUGUGUGGUCGUGUUAUUGCUUGAGUUGAGUCUAUAAAAACCGUUAACGAAAAGCAGAAGAAUCUUUGGAAUCACUGAACUGAAGAAGACGGUGCUGAGAGAGAGAGAGAGAGUUGAAAAUGGUGAAGAGAGAGGAGUUCCUGAGAGAAAAUGACCACAACGAAAAUUCUUCUGUCUCGCGCAGCGACUUCCCUCCAAACUUCGUCUUCGGAGUUGCCACUUCUGCAUACCAGGUUCCUGCCAAUGCAGAUUCAUUCUUCCAAUAUUUUAUGUCACUUUGAACAGCAUUUUGUUGCCAAAUGUGAAUGCCUUGAUUCUUUAUUUUACCUCUUUAAUCCUAUUAAAUAUUCUGUUGGUCUAUGUUUUUAGCAAAAGAAGAAAGAGAAAAAGUUGUGUUGUUGUUAUUGAACUUUCUGUAUGUAUGUAAUGUAGUGAAUCUAAAAAUUAUGACAGUCGAAGAGUACACAAGAAAGUCGGUUAGAUAUUUAUUAUAUAAUGUAACGUGUACAGUAUAAAAUAUUAACCGAGUGGUUACAAAAUACCAACCGGAUAUUCAGGUAAUCUGUUUAUAUCUUAUUCUGUUUAUAUUUUAUUGGGCUUAUAUCAGCUUAAGAUCCAUGAGGUAAAUUAUAAAUACAAAGCCAGGGCCGAAAGCCAGGUACGUUCCACUUACACAUUAUUCGCUCUACGCUACUCUCAAAUACUCAAUAGUGAUAAUCAUUCACUAAAUAUUCAACUAAGAGCCGAGGCUCUUCAAAUCACACGCCUAACUUGAGUGUCGGAGUAUCUUUUGCAGGUACAUCCACCCUCGUCAAGAAGGAGACCGAUCGGCUUGCGCCAAUACCGAUCGGCCAACAGUAGGAGUUUGGAAGCGAGCGAGCGGCCUAGACGCGUCAGCAGAUAAAAGGUGGUUGCAAGGAGGGUGGUAGAGGUCCUAGCAUAUGGGAUGCCUUCUCACACACUGACAGAAAAAAUAUUGACAAAAGCAAUGGUGAUGUUGCAGUUGAUCAUUAUCAUCGGUACAUGGAAGAUAUUGAUCUAAUAGCCAAGUUGGGAUUUGAUGCUUACAGAUUUUCCAUUUCGUGGUCUCGUAUUUUUUCUGAUGGCUUAGGAACCAAAAUCAAUGACGAAGGGAUAACUUUUUAUAACAACAUUAUAAAUUCUCUUCUUGAAAGAGGCAUACAACCUUAUGUAACGUUGUACCAUUGGGAUCUUCCUCUUCAUCUUCAUGAGACAAUGGGAGGAUGGUUAAAUAAACAAAUCGUGUAGGUCUCAUGUAAUUGAGUUUUUAUUCUACAAUCUGGUUCUUUUCAAAUAAUCAUAAAAUUGAUUUGUAUUGUGCUUGAAAGUAGUAGUCUGAGAGGUAACCUAUUUCUGUGGGGCUGGAAUGAUUAUGUUGAUUGUAUAUAUUUUAUGACUUAUAAUUAUGACUAUUGUUAGAUGUUAAGAUGUGUGUUUCUGUUAAUUGGGCUCAGUCCAUUCUGUAUUAUGGGCAUUGGCCCAUAUCUUACAUUAUAAAUAAACUACCCUCAAGAGAUAUUU